GACGAACGCUGGCGGCGUGCUUAACACAUGCAAGUCGAACGAAGUGGCGAACGGGUGAGUAACGCGUAAUCAACCUGCCCUUCAGAGGGGGACAACAGUCGGAAACGACUGCUAAUACCGCAUACUGAAGGAGGGGAUUGCGUCUGAUUUGCUAGUUGGAGGGGUAACGGCCCCCCAAGGCGAUGAUCAGUAACCGGUCUGAGAGGAUGAACGGCCACAUUGGGACCGAGACACUGCCCAGGCUCCUACGGGAGGCAGCAGUGGGGAAUCUUCCGCCAUGGACGGAAGUCUGACUGAGCAACGCCGCGUUGGUUAUGACGGCCUUCGGGUUGUAAAGCUCUGUUAAUCGGGACGCGGUACCGGCAUAGAAAGCAACGGCUAACUACGUGCCAGCAGCCGCGGUAAUAC
rnacentral:rRNA from 1 species